UACGAAGGGGGCUAGCGUUGCUCGGAAUCACUGGGCGUAAAGCGCACGUAGGCGGACUCUUAAGUCGGUGGUGAAAUCCUGGAGCUCAACUCCAGAACUGCCUUCGAUACUGGGAGUCUCGAGUCCGGGAGAGGUGAGUGGAACUGCGAGUGUAGAGGUGGAAUUCGUAGAUAUUCGCAAGAACACCAGUGGCGAAGGCGGCUCACUGGCCCGGUACUGACGCUGAGGUGCGAAAGCGUGGGGAGCAAACAGGG
rnacentral:rRNA from 1 species